rnacentral:rRNA from 1 species
UACACUCCUGCGGGAGGCAGCAGUGGGGAAUAUUGGACAAUGGGCGCAAGCCUGAUCCAGCCAUGCCGCGUGAGUGAUGAAGGCCCUAGGGUUGUAAAGCUCUUUCACCGGUGAAGAUAAUGACGGUAACCGGAGAAGAAGCCCCGGCUAACUUCGUGCCAGCAGCCGCGGUAAUACGAAGGGGGCUAGCGUUGUUCGGAUUUACUGGGCGUAAAGCGCACGUAGGCGGACUAUUAAGUCAGGGGUGAAAUCCCGGGGCUCAACCCCGGAACUGCCUUUGAUACUGGUAGUCUUGAGUUCGAGAGAGGUGAGUGGAAUUCCGAGUGUAGAGGUGAAAUUCGUAGAUAUUCGGAGGAACACCAGUGGCGAAGGCGGCUCACUGGCUCGAUACUGACGCUGAGGUGCGAAAGCGUGGGGAGCAAACAGGAUUAGAAACCCGUGUAGUCCCAU